UACGUAGGCAGCAAGCGUUGUUCGGAGUUACUGGGCGUAAAGGGUGUGUAGGCGGCCUUCUAAGUUUGGUGUGAAAUCUCCCGGCUCAACCGGGAGGGUGCGCCGAAGACUGGGGGGCUAGAGGAUGGGAUGGGAAAGUGGAAUUCCUGGUGUAGCGGUGAAAUGCGUAGAUAUCAGGAGGAACACCUGCGGUGUAGACGGCUUUCUGGACCAACCCUGACGCUGAGACACGAAAGCGUGGGUAGCAAACAGG
rnacentral:ncRNA from 2 species